rnacentral:rRNA from 1 species
UACGUAGGGAGCAAGCGUUGUCCGGAUUUACUGGGCAUAAAGCGCGCGUAGGCGGAAGCUUAAGUGUGGCCUGAAAGCCCCCGGCUCAACCGGGGAGGGUGGCUGCAAACUGGGCUUCUUGAGGGGGAUAGAGGAAGGUGGAAUUCCGGGUGUAGCGGUGAAAUGCGUAGAGAUCCGGAGGAACACCAGUGGCGAAGGCGGCCUUCUAGGUCCGCCCUGACGCUGAGGCGCGAAAGCGUGGGGAGCGAACGGG